rnacentral:antisense_RNA from 2 species
CUUGAGCGAGCCCAGCCGCAGCGGCUGUUCGGCGGUACGGUCCUGGCCGUAGGUGGCGAGCAGGGCCUGCGCCUC